rnacentral:misc_RNA from 1 species
UUGUACCACCGCCCGUCAAGUCAUGAAAGUCGGUAACACCCGAAGCCAGUGGCCUAACCGCAAGGGAGGAGCUGUCGAAGGUGGGAUCGGUGAUUAGGACUAAGUCGUAACAAGGUAGCCGUACCGGAAGGUGCGGCUGGAUCACCUCCUUUCUAAGGAGCAUGUGCACCUCUCCUCUGUAUACAGGGAGAUCAAGGGUGCCAAGUCACGCGUCAGGCGUUCGUCCUGGCGGUGGCGCUCAUGGGUGGAACAUUGACAUUGAUGCCGGCUGAUUCGUCGUGCUGCUAGUACGCCUCCUUGUGGGGUGGGAACGUGGUGCGGUAGAUUCACCGGUUUUCCGGUGGAUCACAAAGAUCUAUUUAUAGAUCAUUGGUCAAUUCUGUCUCCUCUAGGGGAGGCGGGUGUCGAGGGCAUGUUGCACGCUGUUGGGUCCUGAGGGACCGGGCCGCACCUUCGGGUGUGUCUGGUUUCUUGUCGGACCCUUUCCGUCGUCCCUGAGUGGAUGGUGGUGGGGUACCGCCCGUAUAUUGAGAACUACACAGUGGACGCGAGCAUCUAAACGAUUCAAUCUCAUGUGAUUUCAAGAUUCUAAGAGCAAACGGUGGAUGCCUUGGCAUCUGGAGCCGAAGAAGGACGUAUAAAUCUGCGAUAAGCCUCGGGGAGCUGAUAAUAGAGCUUUGAUCCGAGGAUCUCCGAAUGGGGAAACCCCGCCAGGCCCUUUGGGUGACCUGGUGACUCCCGCCUGAAUAUAUAGGGCGGGUAGAGGGAACGUGGGGAACUGAAACAUCUAAGGUACC